rnacentral:rRNA from 1 species
UCUUCCCUACGGGGGGCAGCAGUGAGGAAUAUUGGUCAAUGGGCGAGAGCCUGAACCAGCCAAGUCGCGUGAGGGAAGACGGUCCUAUGGAUUGUAAACCUCUUUUGCCGGGGAGCAAAAAGCGGUACGUGUACCGCAUCGAGAGUACCCGGAGAAAAAGCAUCGGCUAACUCCGUGCCAGCAGCCGCGGUAAUACGGAGGAUGCGCGCGUUAUCCGGCUUUAUUGGGUUUAAAGGGUGCGCAGGCGGCGAGUUAAGUCAGCGGUAAGAUUUCGGGGCUCACCACCGAGGAGCCGUUGAAAGUGG